AUUGAACGCUAGCGGCAGGCCUAACACAUGCAAGUCGAACGAGUGGCGGACGGGUGAGUAAUAUCUGGGAAACUGCCUGAUGGAGGGGGAUAACUACUGGAAACGGUAGCGAAUACCGCAUACCAUCAGAUGUGCCCAGAUGGGAUUAGCUUGGUGGUGGGGUAACGGCUAACCAAGGCGACGAUCCCUAGCUGGUCUGAGAGGAUGACGAGCCACCCUGGAAUGGAGACACGGUCCAGAUCCCAACGGGAGGCAGCAGUGGCGAAUAGGGCACAAUGGGCGCGAGCCUGAUGCAGCAAUGCCGAGGGUAUGAAGAAGGCCUUCGGGUUGUAAAGUACUUUCAGCGGGGAGGCGUUACCCGUAGAAGAAGCACCGGCUAACUCCGUGCCAGCCGCCGCGGUAAUAC
rnacentral:rRNA from 1 species